rnacentral:rRNA from 1 species
UACGUAGGGUGCAAGCGUUAAUCGGAAUUACUGGGCGUAAAGCGUGCGCAGGCGGUUAUGUAAGACAGAUGUGAAAUGCCCGGGCUCAACCUGGGACCUGCAUUUGUGACUGCAUCGCUAGAGUACGGCAGAGGGGGAUGGAAUUCCGCGUGUAGCAGUGAAAUGCGUAGAUAUGCGGAGGAACACCGAUGGCGAAGGCAAUCCCCUGGGCCUGUACUGACGCUCAUGCACGAAAGCGUGGGGAGCAAACAGG